rfam:Staphylococcus epidermidis RP62A, complete genome.
AUUUAUCAAAUUUUAAAACAAUUCAAACUAUUAAGAAUAAAUGACCAUUCAACGAAAGGAGUAUAAUAAAAUGACUUAUCUAUCUACGCUAGACCUACCAACAACUCAACAUGCUAUUAUCAUUUUAUUAUACUCGUAAGGACUCGAACUUUAGAAAAGUUUUAACUUCUAAAUGUUUAAGUCCUAUUUCUAGUUGGAUGGGACUUAAUAA